rnacentral:lncRNA from 1 species
UACAUAUUUAAAUUUGUGUUUAAUAAUAAAAAGCUGUGGUCAAUACUGCCAAUAAAUCUUAGUUUUACAAGCCAUCUCGAAUAAUAGAAUUUAUGUAAUAUACAUAAAUUCGGUUAUUCUAGUGGAAAGUUUUAAUCUCGGCCGUUGCAGUGCUUUCCUUUAUAAAUUCAUAUGUAGUCGAUAAGAUGUAUAGUGGUGACGUCAAUUUGACGUUAGCGUUCUUUUUAACUUUGAGCUGCAAGUGAACAGACGUGUAUAAUUACAGAGAGAAGUAUUUUGAAAAUACCCACCCUCCCUCCACUAUAUAAAUAGUUAAACCAUUUAGUUUUGUUUGGGUACUGCUCUUUUGUUCUUUUUAUUUUCAGGUACAUGUAUAUUCGAGUAGUUAGAGUUCCAGUAUGAAAAAUUCUUCUCCAUUGAUGAUUUGCCAUGUGAUGUCAAAAAUUGCAGUAGUCAGUUAGAUGUUGGUUGUAUAGAAACAUUUGAUCGUUAAAAAGUGAAAAAUGUGUUUGGCAACUUCGCUGCGUGUGAUAGGCAACUUCGCUGCGUGUGAUAAACUACAGUUACAGUUGUCUAUAUUUUAGUUAUAUUAAAAGUACAUUUUGUGGAUCGCUGUAUCCCAGGAUCCAACAGCUAAGUUAGUUGAUCGCUGUAUCCCAGGAUCAUACAUCUA